GGAGAGGGGAGCAGGGGCGGGGGCCCUGGUCGAGCAAAAGGGCAGGGGAGCGGAGGGAGGGGCGGCAGGAAACCCCAAAGGAGAAGGGAUCGCACCUGUGUUAUUCGCUGCAGUAUCCCAGAAGCACAGUGCUUCACAGGCAAUAUGUGCUUAAUAAAUAUACGCCGAAUGACUGAACUGCAACCAAGGACACUGUAUACUUGCUUUACAGACCUAGUGUAAGGAUGAAACAAGGACGUAGGAUUCAGAGUGUUUGUAAGAGACCAGGCAGAUACCGCGCAGAAUUUCUUACAUGGAUCACCUACAGGCACUAACAUAUUCCCGAGGAAUAUAAACAAUGCUGAAUUCAGGGCGUUUUUCAAGAUGACACAGGUCUCAAGAACACAACCUCUGUUACUCUGUUCCCUCUUAUCCAUCAUCUCAUGCCCGAGUCACAUCUUUGUUGUUGGUGCCUGGCGGCUAUUCUGCAGAAUACCUUGGGGGAAGGUCUGCAAUGUGCCCAAAGAAGCCUUUUGUGUGUGUUGAGAGUGACAGUCGCCUCUGGAUGAUCUCACUUUUCUCCUUUUGUUUCAACUAGAUUUGUUCUUUCUGUUGAAGACUAAUCUCACAUGCUCCCUCUUAUUCCUUCUUCCUUUCGGAGCGCAUCAAUUACUCCAAAUGCAUAAGAAACA
rnacentral:lncRNA from 10 species